AGAAUCAACGCUGGCGGCGUGCCUAACACAUGCAAGUCGAACGAGAAAGUGGAGCAAUCCAUUAGUAAAGUGGCGCACGGGUGAGUAACACGUGACUAACCUACCUUUUAGUGGGGGAUAACCUAGGGAAACCUGGGCUAAUACCGCAUAAUACCUACGGGUCAAAGCAGCAAUGCGCUGAAAGAGGGGGUCGCGGUCGAUUAGUUAGUUGGCAGGGUAAUGGCCUACCAAGACUGUGAUCGAUAUCCGGCCUGAGAGGGCGCACGGACACACCUGGAACUGAAACACGGUCCAGACUCCUACGGGAGGCAGCAGUGGGAAUUUUGCGCAAUGGGGGAAACCCUGACGCAGCAACGCCGCGUGGAGGAUGAAGUCCUUGGGACGUAAACUCCUUUCGAUCGGGACGAUAAUGACGGUACCGGAAGAAGAAGCCCCGGCUAACUUCGUGCCAGCACGCCGC
rnacentral:rRNA from 1 species